AUUGAACGCUGGCGGCAGGCCUAACACAUGCAAGUCGAACGAGUGGCGGACGGGUGAGUAAUGUCUGGGACACUGCCUGAUGGAGGGGGAUAACUACUGGAAACGGUAGCUAAUACCGCAUACAAUCGGAUGAGCCCAGAUGGGAUUAGCUAGUAGGUGGGGUAAAGGCUCACCUAGGCGACGAUCCCUAGCUGUUCUGAAAGGAUGACCACGCACACUGGAACUGAGACACGGUCCAGACUCAGACGGUAGGCAGCAGUGGGAAAUAUGGCAAAAUGGGCGCAAGCCUGAUGCAGCCAUGCCGCGUGUAUGAAUAAUGCCUUCGGGUUGUAAAGUACUUUCAGCGGGGAGGCGUUACACGCAGAAGAAGCACCGGCUAACUCCGUGCCAGCAGCCGCGGUAAUUC
rnacentral:rRNA from 1 species